rnacentral:rRNA from 1 species
AAUAGAUACCCCGGUAGUCCACGCCGUAAACGAUGAGUGCUAAGUGUUAGAGGGUUUCCGCCCUUUAGUGCUGCAGCUAACGCAUUAAGCACUCCGCCUGGGGAGUACGGUCGCAAGACUGAAACUCAAAGGAAUUGACGGGGGCCCGCACAAGCGGUGGAGCAUGUGGUUUAAUUCGAAGCAACGCGAAGAACCUUACCAGGUCUUGACAUCCUCUGACAACUCUAGAGAUAGAGCGUUCCCCUUCGGGGGACAGAGUGACAGGUGGUGCAUGGUUGUCGUCAGCUCGUGUCGUGAGAUGUUGGGUUAAGUCCCGCAACGAGCGCAACCCUUGAUCUUAGUUGCCAGCAUUUAGUUGGGCACUCUAAGGUGACUGCCGGUGACAAACCGGAGGAAGGUGGGGAUGACGUCAAAUCAUCAUGCCCCUUAUGACCUGGGCUACACACGUGCUACAAUGGAUGGUACAAAGGGCUGCAAGACCGCGAGGUCAAGCCAAUCCCAUAAAAACCCAUUCUCAGUUCGGAUUGUAGG